rnacentral:lncRNA from 1 species
UCAUAUUCAUCAAAAUUGAGAAAAAAAGUUGAGAACCUUUUCAACAUAAAGUUAAAAGAUUACCCCAAAAAUUUUAUAAAAGAAUAAAGUUUAAGAAAGAGUAUUCAUGUUAGAUCCCUUUAUCAUAACUCUUUAUAUAAUUAAGUAGAAUUCAUAUGAAAAGAAGCCAGAUCUCAGAAAUUUAGAUACCUGAACGGCAGAUAAGUGAGCCUGGUAAAACUCUGGGAGAGAAGCAUUGAGGUAUUUAUCAUGGAAAUCGGUACAAACUUUACUAUCAGCCAAACAGCUUUUAAUCUUAUUCCAGUUCUUGUUAUCAUUAACUCUUUUCUGCAACCAGUUUGAGUAAUCUCCAAGUCGGUAUUCUUUAUAACCUUUCCCGGAUAAUACUUGUCCCGCACCUUUGUUCGUCACUACGAAAGCGAAGAUGGUGAAGGCUAUGCCGAGGACGAUGAGGAGGAACAUGACGACCAGGUAGAGCCAGAGUAGCCAAGUCACGCGACAGCACGCGCCAAUUAGUCCCGCGAGCGAGACCAACAUGAGGAAGACUCCGAUUAUGAUAACGGGCGUGUCCAAGAACUGUUCGCAUUCUGUUACGCCUUCUCGUCUCA